rnacentral:rRNA from 1 species
UACGUAGGGAGCAAGCGUUGUCCGGAAUCAUUGGGCGUAAAGCGCGCGUAGGUGGCCUCAUAAGUCCGCUGUGAAAGUCCAAGGCUCAACCUUGGAAAGCCGGUGGAUACUGUGAGGCUAGAGUACGGAAGAGGCGAGUGGAAUUCCUGGUGUAGCGGUGGAAUGCGCAGAUAUCAGGAGGAACACCGAUGGCGAAGGCAGGUCUCUGGGCCACUACUGACGCUGAGAAGCGAAAGCAUGGGGAGCGAACAGG